UGAGGUUCGUUGUGCGUGUUGCAGGUGGGGUGGUGGUUCGUGGCUGUGCGCAUGAGGCUUGUGCGUCGCAGGGGUGGUGGUUCGUGGCUUUACGCGUGAGGCUUGUGCGCCACAGGGGUGUGGAGGGAUAAUAGAGCUAGAAUCAGGAAGUUACCCUGUGCAGUACAAAGGUCACCCGUCCAUCUUCUUGAGGGCUCUCUAUCUGAUCAAAAGAAAUUUGCUAUCAAACGUGCAGUCCACCAACCGUUGGUCUCUUGAUUGUGAUUGUGGAGCUGCUUCUUGACCAAAUCUGGUUUGUCAGUAC